rnacentral:rRNA from 1 species
UACGGGGGGGGCAAGCGUUGUUCGGAAUUACUGGGCGUAAAGGGCUCGUAGGUGGCCAACUAAGUCAGACGUGAAAUCCCUCGGCUUAACCUGGGAACUGCGUCUGAUACUGGGAGGCUUGAGUAUGGGAGAGGGAUGUAGAAUUCCAGGUGUAGCGGUGAAAUGCGUAGAUAUCUGGAGGAACACCAGUGGCGAAAGCGCCUUGCUGGGCCAGUACUGACACUGAGGAACGAAAGCCAGGGGAGCGAAAGGG